GGAAGCCGUCCGACAGGCAAGAGUAGCCGAGCGGGCCGAGCGCGUCGAUCGGGCUGGGCGCCGCCAUGUCGCUGCUCCUGCCGCAGGGCCGGUGCGGGGCCGCCGCCGCCCGGGGACUGCUGCUGCCGCGGGGCCGGGCCCGGGUGUCAGGAAGCCAUGUGUGUAACCAGUAUGGAACAUCAGGUUCUUUACCAGGGGAAAAAAAAGAGUUCCUGCAAAAUGGACCAGACUUACAGGACUUUGUCUCUGGAGAUCUGUCAGACAAGAGCAGAUGGGCUGACUAUAAAGGCAAUUUAAAGCGUGAGAAAGGAGAAAGGCUGCAUCUUCCUCCAUGGCUGAAAACAAAGAUUCCCAUGGGGAAGAACUACAAUAAACUAAAGAAUACCUUGAGAAGUUUAAAUCUUCAUACGGUAUGUGAAGAAGCACGUUGUCCCAACAUUGGAGAAUGCUGGGGAGGUGGGGAAUAUGCCACGGCGACAGCUACUAUUAUGCUGAUGGGUGACACGUGCACCAGAGGCUGCAGAUUUUGUUCAGUGAAGACUGCCAAGAACCCCCCUCCACUGGAUCCGCAGGAGCCGUACAACACUGCCAAGGCUAUUGCAGACUGGGGCUUGGACUAUGUGGUGCUGACCUCCGUGGACAGAGAUGAUAUGCCUGAUGGUGGAGCGGAACACUUUGCAAAGACGGUCCGGCAUCUGAAAGAAAGGAAUCCAAAAAUCCUGGUGGAAUGCCUAACUCCCGAUUUCCGAGGUGACCUUAAAGCAGUGGAGAAAGUCGCCUCGUCGGGGCUGGAUGUGUAUGCCCACAACGUGGAGACGGUGCCGGCACUGCAGAGGAAGGUCCGCGACCCCCGAGCCAACUUUGAGCAGUCGGUCCGGGUGCUGAAACAUGCUAAAGAGGUCCAGCCCGGCGUCAUUUCCAAAACUUCCAUCAUGCUGGGGCUAGGCGAGACGGACGAACAAGUAUAUUCCACAAUGAAAUUAUUACGGGAAGCAGAUGUGGAUUGUUUGACCCUAGGACAGUAUAUGCAACCAACAAAACGUCACCUAAAGGUGGAAGAGUACAUAACUCCUGAGAAGUUUAAAUACUGGGAAAAAGUAGGAAAUGAUCUUGGAUUCCAUUACACUGCUAGCGGGCCUUUAGUGCGUUCUUCCUAUAAAGCAGGUGAAUUCUUCUUGAAGAACUUGGUAGAAAAAAGAAAGACAAAAGCCAUCUGAAAAUGAGAAUGAACCUAUUUAAAGCAGCCAGGUUUAAGAAUCCUUUUUUCAGUGCAUAAUUAUACUCAGUUCCAGAAAUGAAGAAGAACAGAUGGCGGCUAUAUGAAUAAACUUACUAUCUUUCCAGAACAAUUUUUUCUUAUCAAAACACAUUAUUUUACCUCAUUUCUUCUGGCAAGGCUGCAGCAACAGAAUACUUGAGUGUUCAGCAAAAAGACAGAAGCUAGAACCGAUUUUGAAAGAGUGGUGGAACUGAGGUGGAAGAAACAAACAUAAGCUGGGAACAAAGACUGGGCAGAUUUAUAGGUCUGCUACAGCAGUCAGCAUUGCUGCAGUGAAUACCUGGGAAGGUGCUGAUAGUAACUAGAAAGCACUAAUGCCAAUGAUUCUCUCCAUAAUGCUCAGCUCUGGACAUUAAAUACCAUCUCUGAACUAACCUGACCUGUAUCUUUGUCAAGUUAUUUGGGAAACAUCCCAGGACUGCUAUCUGGCCCAAGACUCCCAUCAUGCAGGUAAUUCUAUGACUGGCUCUAGUACUUUUCUAAACUCCUGCAGUCUGUAGAAAGAGAGUGGACCCUGCACACCCACCAACUCAGCAAGAUGACAGAAGGAAGACAUCUGCCUAGCAAGAAAAUAUAUAGGAAAAACUUGUAUGAACAUAAUAUUGUACAACUGAGGCCAGUGAUGCACAGCUGACACUUCACAAAAUGAAGUACAGCAAUAUUAACACAUUAUGAAGACAAAACUUUAACCAAGAAGGAAUGUACCAAUUCACCAGUGUAAGGGGAAAUGUGAGCCAUGAGGAACAAAGGGGAAGAAGGGAUAAACAAAAGAAUAGCUGUACUUUGUAAGGGCAGAGAGACAGGCAAGGCUGCUUUUUAAAAUAAACAAUAUUAUUAAUAACAAAAGGUCUGAUUGCUAGUCAUGGAAAGCCCAGGUGUAUUUUGAGCCAAAAAUGCCCUGCUUCAGCUAAAGUACACAUGAGUACUAGAGCAGGGAAGGGAAAUUUCCAUUGCAAGGAAAUUCAGCACUCCCUCCACUGCAGCAGACAUAGAGGGUUGCGACAUCAACUCCAGGAUAUCCACACAUUUAACAGCUGCCAGCCUUUUUUAGAGGUCCUGCUGUAAAGAAUGUUUUUGACUUGCCUACGGAGCAGAUUUAACAGAAUAUGACUUUAGCUUCUGCCAAGUUACUGCUCUUUCAGCAUAUCAACACCAGAAAUAAAGAAAAAAGGAGCUCUGAGCCAUACAGCCAUUAUCAAACAAGAGAACAUAGCACAGUGACUUCCUUACAGUUAGAAAAAUAAUGUUUCUUGAAACACAGUCCAGUAUUGCAUCAUGUUAAAAUUAUCUUGUGAGUUGCUGCUGGGUGUUUCAGAAGAUGAUUUCAUGCUCUUACACAACUGUCUGCCAGCUGUCUGGUACCAAGUGUCAGAAGCUACACAAGCUUUUCUAGCUGCAUGUUUUGCUGUGGACUCUAGAGAAAGUCAUACUUUGACUUCAUAGAUUGGAGAGGGUCUUUGCCUGUUUUUUUUUUAACACCUGGGGACAAGCCCUGAAGUUCUUUUCCUAGUUACAAAUUCUUGCUUGGGCAGGCAUCUGACUUCCCCUAUUGCCCAUUCAGUUUCUUCCAUAACUAUGUGUUAAAGCACCAAACUCUCACAAAUAUCCUUUUUGUAAUUCAGCACAGGUUUCAUGACUGUUCAGUUGAAGUUUCAUGUUUGGUGACAUUUUCAUUUUGUAUGUCAAUCAUGCCAUUCUGUCAGUUUGAUUCACAAAGUAGCUAUAAAAUAUUUUAAGAAACAUUAAUCAUCCUUGCAACCAGGAAAACAUUAAACUGAGUUUUGAGAAUAAAAUUUAGAGUUGUCACAGACAGUUUAAAAGAAUGAAUAGUCUUUUUGGCAUCAUCACAUCAACCUACUACACUGUCUGAAACAUAAUUAAAUGUUAUUCAUAGAGAAUUGUUGCAUCUUCCAGUAACUGCAAGUCCUUAGGUGAACUGAACACUGGCUUUGUCAAUUUAAAAACAGUUUUGAAUUUUUUCCUACUUGAUGAAUAAUUAAUACUGGUUUCACACUAUUAAAAAAGUGUGAAACAUUUAUGCUUCUUUAUUACCACAUGUGGUAACUUAUUGCAGGUGUUCAGCUUGGAGCAGAAAUUUUAGCUUGAUUCCAGCAUUCCUAAAUCAGAUCUCCAUUAUGCUUCCUGCAUUGUUUAACAAUCAAAUUUCAAGUUUAGAUGUUGAACAAGAUUAAAGCACUACAAAAACCUGAAAUGAGACGUAUAAACUUUUUGGCCAGUACAAAAUCUCACCCCUAACUGCUCCUGUAAUAACUAUUCUUGGUCAAAAAUGUGUGUUCUAUUCACUUGGAAUAUUCUUGGCUGCUAUUGUAUUCCUGGAACCAGACUAGUUUCAGCUUCACAAAAACAUGAACGCACAUACUCAGAAAAAAAAACAGUACAUCUUGCCUGGCACUUACAAUUUGUGUACAUCUUGGGUAAGACCCAAAUUAUGCAUUCUGUAUCAUACUACUUCUAGACUUGCAUUAAAUCCUGAUUGUCUUCAGCUGUUGCAUUCUUGUUGUAUUUUUGCAGUGCAAAGCAGUGUUACCAUGGAACUGCAUUUUAAGAACCCCAUAAAAAGAAUUUCAGAGCACAGGAGUCUGUUGGUCACAUUA